rnacentral:rRNA from 1 species
GAUCAUGGCUCAGAACGAACGCUGGUGGCGUGCUUAUACAUGCAAGUCGAGCGGUGCAGCAAUGCAUAGCGGCGAACGGGUGAGUAACGCGUAAGCAAUCUGCCCCCUGUUCGGGAAUAGCCGUGCCAACGCGCGGGUAAUACCGGAUAUCGUGGCUUCCCCCAUGGGAAGUUGACAAAAGAUUUAUCGACAGGGGAUGAGCUUGCGUCCGAUUAGCUAGUUGGCGGGCAACGGCCCACCAAGGCGACGAUCGGUAGCCGGCCUGAGAGGGUGAUCGGCCACAUUGGGACUGAGAUACGGCCCAGACUCCUACGGGAGGCAGCAGUAGGGAAUAUUGCACAAUGGGGGAAACCCUGAUGCAGCAACGCCAACGUGUGGGAAGAAGCAUUUCGGUGUGUAAACCACUGUCGUGAGGGAAUAAGGCUAAUUUUCGGAUUAGUUGAAUGUACCUCGAGAGGAAGCACCGGCAAACUUCGUGCCAGCCGCUGC